GUCAGGAUAGCUCAGUUGGUAGAGCAGAGG
rnacentral:tRNA from 23 species